UUGAUCUCGGAAGCUAAGC
rnacentral:miRNA from 1 species